CCUACAUGCUAGUUGCUAGCGACCGGGCGAGAGGCAGUGCAACUGUCAGUGUUUUGAAGGAUGUCAAUGAAAAGAAAACUGGAUGUAAGAGACUUCUUUAGGAGUCAAACUAUGAUGUGGUCCUGAUGGCUUCAUCUGACCGGGAUCUUCAGCUCUCGCUGGAUCGGUUCGCAGCCGAGUGUGAAGCGACUGGAAUGAGAAUCAGCACCUCCAAGUCCGAGUCCAUGGUUCUCGCCUGGAAAAGGGUGGAAUGCCAUCUCCGGGUUGGGGAGGAGACCCUGCCCCAAGUGGAGGAGUUCAAGUACCUAGGAGUCUUGUUCACGAGUGGGGGAAGAGUGGAUUGUGAGAUUGACAGGCGGAUCGGUGCGGCGUCUUCAGUAAUGCGGACGUUGUACCGAUCCGUUAUGGUGAAGAAGGAGCUGAGCCGGAAGGCAAAGCUCUCAAUUUACCGGUUGAUCUACGUUCCCAUCCUCACCUAUGGUCAUGAGCUUUGGGUCAUGACUGAAAGGAUAAGA